rnacentral:rRNA from 1 species
UACAGAGGUCUCAACCGUUGUUCGGAUUCAUUGGGCGUAAAGGGUGCGUAGGCGGUCGCGCAAGUCGGAUGUGAAAUCUCAGGGCUCAACCCUGAAACUGCAUUCGAUACUGCGUGGCUAGGGUACUGGAGAGGAGACUGGAAUUUACGGUGUAGCAGUGAAAUGCGUAGAUAUCGUAAGGAAGACCAGUGGCGAAGGCGAGUCUCUGGACAGUUACCGACGCUGAGGCACGAAGGCCAGGGGAGCAAACGGG